UACGAAGGGGGCUAGCGUUGUUCGGAAUCACUGGGCGUAAAGGGCGCGUAGGCGGCUUUAUAAGUCGGGGGUGAAAGCCUGUGGCUCAACCACAGAAUUGCCUUCGAUACUGUAGAGCUUGAGACCGGAAGAGGUAAGUGGAAUUCCUAGUGUAGAGGUGAAAUUCGUAGAUAUUAGGAAGAACACCAGUGGCGAAGGCGGCUCACUGGUCCGGUACUGACGCUGAGGUGCGAAAGCGUGGGGAGCAAACAGG
rnacentral:rRNA from 1 species